ncrna:unclassified sequences Clostridiales-2 RNA
AUAAAAAAUAAAGGUGUAGGAAAAAGGAUUUCUUGCCGUAGCAAGGAGGGUGCGCAGACACGUAGUGUCGUCGAAAGGAAC